rnacentral:rRNA from 1 species
GGAGUUUGGUCCGUGUCUCAGUACCAAUGUGGGGGACCUUCCUCUCAGAACCCCUACUGAUCGAUGGCUCGGUGGGCCGUUACCCCGCCGACUGCCUAAUCAGACGCAUCCCCAUCCCUUAGCGAUAAAUCUUUAAUCCAAAUUAGAUGCCUGCUUCGGAUAACAUAGGGUAUUAAUCCGACUUUCGCCGGGCUAUGCCCUACUAGGGGGAAGGUUGGAUACGCGUUACUCACCCGUGCGCCGGUCGCCAUCAGAAGUUGCAAGCAACUCCCAUGAUGCCCCUCGACUUGCAUGUGUUAAGCCUGUAGCUAGCGUUCAUC